AGUACUCUGUGACUGAAUGGUUUUAAAAUCUGUUCUUAUCAGUUUAAUAUCUGAUACGUCCCCUAUCUGGGGACCAUAUAUUAAAUGGAUUUUUGGGACAGGAGAUGGAAGAAGAGCUUGCUCUGUCCACUCCACGCAUUGACCUGGUAUUGCAGUACCUCCAGGACCGGUGCACCUCUC